rnacentral:rRNA from 1 species
GAUCAUGGCUCAGGAUGAACGCUAGCUACAGGCUUAACACAUGCAAGUCGAGGGGAAACGAUAUUGGAAGCUUGCUUCCGAUAGGCGUCGACCGGCGCACGGGUGAGUAACGCGUAUCCAACCUGCCCAUCACUUGGGGAAUAACCUUGCGAAAGUAAGACUAAUGCCCAAUGACAUUUAUAGAAGGCAUCGGAAAUAGAAUUAAAAGAAUUUAUUCGGUGGAUGGAUGGGGAGUGCGGU